rnacentral:pre_miRNA from 1 species
GCUAUUUGCAAGGUACCUAAUUGUUUGAUUAUUGAUUCUCAAUUGGUCCCCUCCAAGUAGCUC